rnacentral:tRNA from 1 species
UGAAUAUCGUGCCCCUUUAGCUCAGUGGUAGAGCGUUGGUCUUGUAAACCAAAGGUCGGGAGAUCGAUCCUCUCAGGGGGCAU